rnacentral:ncRNA from 1 species
GCUAGGGGUGUCCCGAAAUGGGGCUGAGAUGAAUGAACCCUCAUUACUUGAACCGGGUCAUACCGGCGUAAGGAAGCAGUAUU